UGUGGUGCUGCACCCAGUUGAAAGCCUGCACUGAUUGUGAUGAACUUUCCUAACAGGAGGCACGGGUCCUUCGUCGGACGCUGGCUGGGGAUGUAUGCUGCGAUGCGGGCAGAUGAUGCUGGCCCAAGCACUGAUCUGCAGACACUUAGGGAGAGAUUGGCAAUGGGAAAAACACAAAAAACAACCAGAAGAAUAUCACAGAAUCCUACGAUGCUUUCUCGACAGGAAGGCUUGCUGUUAUUCAAUCCACCAGAUGGGAAGCUUGCUUUAUUUGAUGAAUGGAAUUCAUUAGCAGUUUAUGUAUCUAUGGGCAAUACGGUGGUCAUUGAAGACAUCAGGAAGUGACACCUCAUCAGUUUUCUGAAAAAAUGUGCUGGUCCCCUCCUCAGAGCAGCAGCGCGUCCCACAGCAGUGCACAUUUGCACAGAAGUGCUCUUGGCCGAAGCAAGAAGGCAGGAGGACUCUGCACAGGCUGGAAAGCCCUCUUGCUUAUUAUACCUCUACGACUAGGGAUAAAUCACAUAAAUCCCGUAUAUAUUGAUGCAUUUAAAGUAAGGUUUUCUUUCAAUUCAUUGCUCGUUACUGUCA
rnacentral:lncRNA from 1 species